GGGGAAAUGAAGUGAGAAACUGUAAGGGGAAAAAAAGAGCUAAUCUACGUGCUUUAUUUACACAUCUGAUGAAGGACUUUUCUCUGAUUCAUCCUGUUUCUUUGUGUACUUUAUUACUGCCACCAUUAUUAAUGAGAUCUACUAGUGGAAAGUAAAACAUUUGUAGACAUGCAGAACAGUAACGUUCCUGGAAAUGUAGGUGGGUUUUUUUUUUUCUUUUUUCUCUGGAUCACAGAACCGGAAACUGUUUUAAACCACUGUAU